rnacentral:rRNA from 1 species
UCGGGUGACGAGCGGCGGACGGGUGAGUAAUGUCUGGGAAACUGCCUGAUGGAGGGGGAUAACUACUGGAAACGGUAGCUAAUACCGCAUAACGUCUUCGGACCAAAGAGGGGGACCUUCGGGCCUCUUGCCAUCAGAUGUGCCCAGAUGGGAUUAGCUAGUAGGUGAGGUAAUGGCUCACCUAUGCGACGAUCCCUAGCUGGUCUGAGAGGAUGACCAGCCACACUGGAACUGAGACACGGUCCAGACUCCUACGGGAGGCAGCAGUGGGGAAUAUUGCACAAUGGGCGCAAGCCUGAUGCAGCCAUGCCGCGUGUGUGAAGAAGGCCUUCGGGUUGUAAAGCACUUUCAGCGGGGAGGAAGGCGGUGAGAUUAAUACUCUCACCGAUUGACGUUACCCGCAGAAAAAACACCGGCUAACUCCGUGCCAGCAGCCGCGGUAAUACGGAGGGUGCGAGAGUUAAUCGGAAUGACUGGGCGUAAAGCGCAGGCACGCGGUUUGUUAAGUCAGAUGUGAAAUCCCCGAGCUUAUCUUGGGAACUGCAUUUGAAACUGGCAAGCUAGAGUCUUGUAGAGGGGGGUAGAAUUCCACGUGUAGCGGUGAAAUGCGUAGAGAUCUGGAGGAAUACCGGUGGCGAAGGCGGCCCCCUGGACAA